CUGAGGUGGAUGAAAAAGUAGAUGACGUGUAUGUGAUUUUAAACUUCAGCCUUAGUCGUGACACAGUCCUCGGGCAAACACAGCUCGGGAAUAGAUGGUGUGACACACCAAGUCGGGAUGAAAUCAGUUCUACUGUAACAGCGACAACUUCCUUGAGACUUCAGUAUUGGCUGCGAUAACUAUCUGCUUCUCUAAAAACAUAGGCUUCUAUUCAACUAAGUGAGAUACUCUUCCAGCUGGUAAAGUGUUAAAUAUCCACAGAACUAGCUGGAAAAAUGUUGGUCAACCAAUGUGCUUGCACAGAAUAGUAUCAGUUUCAAAUAAGCUUCCCUAAAAAAGUUGUUUUUUCCUAAAACAACAGUUUGAUUUAAAGAAAAACAAAAUAAAAAUAAAAUGGUUUGGUAUUGUAUAGUCUAUAAUAUUUUUUACAUUUUUAUUCUGUUUUUAAAAUUAUGCCAUAUCAUAAUGUCAUUACAGCCUGCUAUUUUAUCAUGUAAUUUACUGCUUUGUCAUACAGUCCCACACUGGUACAAAACAUCAUUUUGGACAUACUAUAAAAAUUUAACAUUUCUGAGUUUAAAUGAGCUGUAAGUUUGCAUUUUCUGCAUGUGGUCUCCAUAAAAGACAAGAUUACCAUAAGGACGCAUGUGAACAGUUCUGGCUUGCCAUCAAGCAGGAAACAUCCUGCAAAACUGCCACAAUUAUGACUUUAUUUAUUAACUUAUAGCCAUAUCUAUGACAGAUAUCACAGUCACUGAACGUAGAACAGUGCUAUGCAGUUUCUUUUAAUAAAAUAAAAAGCUUUUUUUUUAUCAGUUUUGGAGAUGUGUGUUGAAAAUACAUUAGCAAUGAAACAUUGCAGAGACGUACUCCCAUUCACAAAUGUGGUUAUUUGCAACAAAUAUGCAUGAGUUCCCUUAAAGUCUUCUUUCUUCAAUUUGUUUUUCAAAGGAUAAGCUUUAGCCUCUCCCUUUUAUUGUCCAUUCUUGGAAUUGUAACAACUACCUCUUCAGAAUAACUCAGGCAAAAUGUGUUGUUGCAGGAAGGACUGACGGACAGGCACUACUUCUAAAAUCCCAGCGUACAGGCACUGGAGCUGUGGUUUGAACGUUCUGAAACCUUGCACACAGGAAGAAUUCGAUCACAUUAUCCUUGAAAAUCUAUAAAGCCAAGAAUAAUGAUUAACCAUGGCACUGACCAACUAAGGAGAAGGAGCCCAGAUGGCGUAGCGUUCAAGAAAGAGUGUUCCCGGAGUAGCAGAGCAGCAGCAACAAGCAGAGAGACAGGAGGUAUCUUUGAAUUCGAUCACAACACACAGUCACAAAAAAGGUUUCAGUUUUGCUCUUCAGAUCUUACGAUAGAAUUAUUUUUAUGAGCUGCUGUGAUGCAAGCUAUCUUGUAUCUGGCAAUCCAUUGCAAACAGAUGAGAAACAACUUCUGCAUCUGCUACAGAAAGCCUUACGGCAGCUGUUGCAGUUUGCACUGGUCUGUACAAAUAAUUUUCUUACUUGUUCCAUGAAAUGCAAAAUCUUGUCUUUUGGGUGGAAUGCUACUCCUAAAGUAAUUGUCGCAGUCACGAUUCAUGGAGGACUACGAUUCAACCAACAACAAGUAAGUAUUGCCAUAUCUGGCUGCAUGUCAGACCAUAUUCAUUUAGUUUACUCUCUAUUGUUUGUGUAUUGAGCAAAUAGUCUUUGGACAUUAUGCCUUCCACGGUCAGUAUUUAUCUUUCCAUGCCAAAUAAUUGCACAUGCAAGGAAUGCCUAGCUGCACUUUUUUAGGUAGACUCAGUUUGCUCCACAUAUAUAUUUCAAAUGUAUCAUUUGCCCUGUACUGCUCAAGACUGUAACAAUUCUUAGUCUUCUUAGGCUUUAGGGGCACUGUUUAUGUGUAAAUUAUUGCUAUUUGAAGCUAGUCACAGAAUUUGAUUUCAAUUAAAAUGAUCUGUCAUUUUCUUGGUCUUCAGUAAUGGUAGUUCAACUUCAGAGAGUCAGACCAGGAGGAGUGAGUCCAGAAAAAAUACUUGUUUCACUUUUCUGCUUCAUUCUGACCAGGUUCUUCAGGCAUCCUGAGGUCACAGUGAGCAUCCAAUCCACUACCAAGGGAUCUUUACCCUCACUUCGAAACUCCCGGUGUCUUUGACCAAGAUUAAAGAGAAAAUUGAGUUUUCUCAAGUCCUUAUUGUUUAAUUUCCUCAGCACCUCCAAAGACACCCGGAAAGAAAUUCGUAUGUCAAGCUGAAGUCCAUGUACUGUUCUCAGCGCACCUGUUCCAUAACACAAACCAGUCCUAACAAAGAACAAGCAUUUCCUGAUUACAUAGCUAUUGUAAACUUUCCAGGCAUUUCCAGUCUUGCUUACCCUUUCCUCAGGUGUAUGCAAAGUGCAAGAAUAUUGUGCUUCAACAAGAAAUGCCUCAAGCAUCCUUGACUUGCUUCAUAGGUGCAAUUCAAGGUGUUUGAACUUUUGGAGCUGUAUUUUGUUAAAAAGCUUAGGUUCGUAUAGGCUGAAUUCUUCAAGGUUCUGUAGUGUUUCUCUAUAAAAUUCGAUUAAAUUGUUCUGGAGUGUCACUAAUAAUAAACAGUGAGCAGUCAACCUAGAAGGGGACGCAUAGAGCUAACCAAGAGGAAAAUGUAUGCACGCAUGUUUCACUGAGCAUCACCUGAACCAGGGCUUUUCCGUGGGCCUCUCUGUCCUUUUGGGUUUCAGACUGCUAGGUACUUUCAGAAGAGAUCACAAGACGGAAGAUGGUCUUGUCCUCCACAGCGCUGUCAUUCGACUUCUCUUCAGAAAAGGUGGAAGCUGGAUUCUAGGCCCUCCUCAAACAUGUACACGUGUGUGUACUUGUGUGUGUGUGUGUCCAUGUACGUGUGCGUGCGUAUGGGCGAGCGUGGCAGGGGGUGUCAGGGUGGCAGCUCCUAAUUUGUGGGAGAAGGUUCUGCUCACCUCCGUGCUCCUGGGGAUGGCAGAUAGCCUCCAUCCCUUUUGCUGAAGUUUGAAGGGACAUGAAGGGACUCACAACAAAUACAUCUUUUUUCAGCUGUGUUAGAAGGAGCCUUGUUGUGUGACCACUGUCCCCUGGAAAAUGAAAACUGUUCUUUCACACCUCUGGGGUAAAGUAGGCUGCAGUCCAGCAGGCACCAACUUGUUCCUGAAGAUCAGUACACAAUAGGAAGUUUCUUAACUGUUUAUAAUGGGUCAUUCUUUGUGUUCCUUUUUUCAGUAUCGGUAACACAAUCUGUUAAUGAUGAUCAGUAAAUGCUUAUAAAACUAUAAAGGAAUAAUUUCUACACAGCUAUUUGUGUGACUCAGACACCGAUGACAAACGGGAUGUUUUACAUAUUUUAUUAGUAAUUAAAAUAUUCCUCAAAGACAUGACUCCACUUACAACUUGCGUAGCUUCAUCAAGAAGGAAAUAAAGCUUCUCUCUUUCCUCUUACUUGUUGAAUAGAUGGAAUAUCUACACACUAAGUAGGAAGUUAAAAUUACGUCACCAGAAGUAACAUCCUCUUAAAUACGGCUUUAUGUUCUUGUGGAGUAGAAGAAAUGAAAUAGAAGUCUUAAGAAUACGCUUGAAAAGAACUUUAAGGAAUAAAAGCACAUAGAAUUUGUAAAAAAGCUAGAAAAAUGAUACUUUAGAAACCCUGACCUUGAAUUAUAAAAUACAGUAGUGCUACACUUAAAGCAUGUAUUAGAACAACCCAUUAAAAUGUGUACUCUGUAUCUUGCACGUCAGUUUUUCUGUUUUCAUUGCUUCAUUAAGUUCAAGGCACAGUUUUUAUGGUUUUGUUGUGGGUUUUUUGUUUGUUUGGUUGGUUU